GAUAUAUUGCUGAGUAUGAUGUAUCUGGCCCCAUUCUGGGCGCUGUGAUCUAGCCGAGAACUAGGCAGCAAGGUGCCUACCAUCAAGGAGACUGCAUUCUAGUGUGGGGUGAAAGAUACCAAAGGAAGCCAAGAAGUCCAUAAGAUAAUUUCAUCUCAGGUACAAAGCACAUAUGUCUUGAGCUUUCUGAGUAGAGACACAUCUGAGCUAAAUAAACACAUGAAAGGUCAGCUUGGUUGAGCGAAGAUGAGCUUAAGUGGAAACUUGUUUCAGAGGUUUCUCUUCCUUAGCUGUUCCUUCCCUCCAUGGGUUCAGGAGGCUCCUGGGGUCAAGAACCAAAGAGAAGCUCUCUUUUCCAGGGGACCCAGGCUCAUUUUUCCCUGGUACUUGGAAGAUCCAGCUAAGGAUCUUGAAAGGGAGAUCAGCUUGGAUUAUCCAGAUGGGCUCAAUGUAAUCACAACGGUCUUAAUAAGAGGGAGGCAGAGGAGAUUUCAUCACACACAGAAGAGAGAAGGCCAUGCGCUAGUCUCAGCAGAGAGGAAGAGGGAGAGAUUUGAAGAUGCUGCCCUGCAGACUUUGAAGAUGGAGGAAGGGGCUCUGAGCCAAGGAGCAUCAGCAGAGCAGCUCCAGAAGCUGGAAAAGGAAGGAAACCAUUCUCCUCUAGAGCCUCUGGUGGGACCACGACUUUGCUGGACCUUGGUUUCAGCCCAGUGUGAGGAGAAUGUUAAAAAUGAUCUUACGUGAAAUCUGACUAAGUGAGGACCAUACCUCCAAUGUCUAAGGAACAGUUUUAGGCUCUCUGGAUUUAACUGUGGUAAAGAAACUGCCUGCCAGUGCAGGAGACAUAAGAGACACUUGUGUGAUCCUGGGUUGGGAAGAUUCCCUGGAGGAGGGCAUGGCAACCCACUCCAGUAUUCCUGCCUGGAGAAUCCCUUGGACAGAGGAGCCUGGCAGGCUACAGUCCAUAGGGUCGCAGAGAGUCAGACACGACUGAAACAACUUAGCAAAGCAAAUAAAAUAUUCAUGUUUUGAUC
ensembl:lncRNA